rnacentral:rRNA from 1 species
ACGAACGCUGGCGGCGUGCUUAACACAUGCAGGUCGAACGGAAAGGCCUUGCUUUUGUGGGGUGCUCGAGUGGCGAACGGGUGAGUAACACGUGAGUAACCUGCCCUUGACUUUGGGAUAACUUCAGGAAACUGGGGCUAAUACCGGAUAGGAGCUCCUGCUGCAUGGUGGGGGUUGGAAAGUUUCGGCGGUUGGGGAUGGACUCGCGGCUUAUCAGCUUGUUGGUGGGGUAGUGGCUUACCAAGGCUUUGACGGGUAGCCGGCCUGAGAGGGUGACCGGCCACAUUGGGACUGAGAUACGGCCCAGACUCCUACGGGAGGCAGCAGUGGGGAAUAUUGCACAAUGGGCGGAAGCCUGAUGCAGCAACGCCGCGUGCGGGAUGACGGCCUUCGGGUUGUAAACCGCUUUCGCCUGUGACGAAGCGUGAGUGACGGUAAUGGGUAAAGAAGCACCGGCUAACUACGUG